rnacentral:rRNA from 1 species
GACCUGCGGAGGAUCAUUAUUGAAAUUAUUGGUGAGGGUUGUAGCUGGCCUUUCGGGGCAUGUGCACGCCCGAGCCCUUAAUCCACUUUACACCUGUGCACUUAAUGUAGGUCACCCUUGAAAAGGUGACCUAUGUCUUAUCAUCAACCCAUAGUAUGUCCAAUAGAAUGUGAAUCGAUAUCCUCGCCCUAAAAAAGCGUUGAUAAACUUAUACAACUUUCAACAACGGAUCUCUUGGCUCUCGCAUCGAUGAAGAACGCAGCGAAAUGCGAUAAGUAAUGUGAAUUGCAGAUUUUCAGUGAAUCAUCGAAUCUUUGAACGCACCUUGCGCUCCUUGGUAUUCCGAGGAGCAUGCCUGUUUGAGUAUCAUUAAAUUCUCAACUCCAAGGGUUUCACGACCUCUCGGAGAUUGGACUUGGAGGUGCCGGCCGCAUACGGUCGGCUCCUCUCAAAUGCAUUGGCGGAAUUCAACCUUUGGGCUUCCGGACGUCAGUGUGAUAAUCAUGUUGCGCUGUCGUUUGACCCUCAGAGUCCGCUUAUAAUGGUCUUCGGACAAAUCAUCAUCAAAUUUGAUCUCAAAUCAGGUAGGACUACCCGCUGAACUUAAGCAUAUCAAUAAGCCGGAGGAA